UACGUAGGGUGCGAGCGUUAAUCGGAAUUACUGGGCGUAAAGCGUGCGCAGGCGGUUCGCUAAGACCGAUGUGAAAUCCCCGGGCUUAACCUGGGAACUGCAUUGGUGACUGGCGGGCUAGAGUAUGGCAGAGGGGGGUAGAAUUCCACGUGUAGCAGUGAAAUGCGUAGAGAUGUGGAGGAAUACCGAUGGCGAAGGCAGCCCCCUGGGCCAAUACUGACGCCCAUGCACGAAAGCGUGGGGAGCAAACAGG
rnacentral:rRNA from 1 species